UGAUUUCUUUGUGUAUCACCUUGUCGUCUUAGAGUAUUACAUAAUAAUGCAGCUCUCCAUGUCCUUUUCCCAGGACUGCCAGCUGAAAAUUCAUCUGAAAUGUGACUACAGCAGUGCAAAUGCUCAGCUUGUUGUUACAGUGUCCUAGGAAGAUCAUGUGCCAAGAGAAGAACAUGUAGAGCAGAACUGCUUUCCCUUCCUGUUCUCCCUGCAAGAUGCUGAGUGAGGAGGGUAAGGAGAAGACUUUGAAAGCAGAGAAACAGUACAGUGGUGAUCAAGAAUUAUGAUAAUGCCAAUCAGAGAGCAUCUAAUGGCAAUUAAUGUGGAUGGCACACAAAUGGCCAGAAACAAACAUACAGUAUAAAAGAAUGUUGAACAUAAUGAGAGAAAGAAAGGAAUGUGAAUCAGGGCUGGAAAAGACUGGGGUCCACCUCAAAAAAUGUCUGAAAUCUCAGAGCUUGAGUCACACUGUCUCCUUUACAUCCAUGUAUUACCUUUGCCAGAAGACGAGAAGAGAUGUAGAGGCCGUCAGUCCACGUCAAGUGCCACGCUAGAAGAAAAAAAGGAGGAAAAAAUACCAUUGCAUGUGAAUCCUUGUGGUAACUGAGGCACUCUUCUGCAAUGAGAGGAUUAACAUUGGUUCAUUUCACUGCUCAACUUGUUUUGAAGGAGAAAAAAGUCUUCCCUAGGAGACCAUGGAGAUAGUACCAAAACAGACAGAUAGAGGGACUCUCCUGCAUGCGUAGGCAAAGUAUAUAAUCAUCUUGUAUAAGACAUAUAUUUCUUUCCUCAAAAAUUAGUUGAGUCAAAAACCUUCGAUCAAUUAUAUGUUUUGCCAUUUAUAACUCAUAGAAUACUUUAUUAAUAUUACUUGCAUAAAGUUUACAUCAAUCGUGACCAUAAAGGAUAAACAUGUUUUUAUUAAAAUGUUGUCUUAAGUUUACCAAGGAUCUUGGUCUCUAUCUUGCAGGGACCUGCUUCUCGUACAUCUCAGCACACACCAGUGUUUCGUAUCACAGAUUUGUCGGCAUUGGAAGAUCUAAAGAUCAUCUAGUGCAACCCCUCUGCUAAAGCAGGUUCCCUAGAGUAGGUUGCAGAGGACCUCUAUCUUUUCUGUCUGCUUUCCUACUAGCACAGUAUGAUGUCCUUCAAAGAGAAACGCAAAGCUUUCUGUUUGUGCUUCCCCUUUUAGAUGACUUGAUCAUUUCAAGCUAGUUGAGAGUGGUUCCUUUUUUUUCCUCAUGAAAAUUUCUGAUCAUGAGGAAAAUAUACAAUAAAGUACUAUUCUGACCGCUGGCCA
rnacentral:lncRNA from 1 species